rnacentral:rRNA from 1 species
GAUCAUGGCUUAGGAUGAACGCUAGCUACAGGCUUAACACAUGCAAGUCGAGGGGAAACGACAUCGAAAGCUUGCUUUUGAUGGGCGUCGACCGGCGCACGGGUGAGUAACGCGUAUCCAACCUGCCCAUCACUUGGGAAUAACCUUGCGAAAGUAAGACUAAUGCCCAAUGAUAUCCCACGAAGGCAUCCGAAUGGGAUUAAAGAUUUAUCGGUGAUGGAUGGGGAUGCGCCUGAUUAG